rnacentral:rRNA from 1 species
CGCGGCCUAUCAGCUUGUUGGUGGGGUAACGGCCUACCAAGGCAACGACGGGUAGCUGGUCUGAGAGGACGAUCAGCCACACUGGGACUGAGACACGGCCCAGACUCCUACGGGAGGCAGCAGUAGGGAAUCUUGCGCAAUGGGGGAAACCCUGACGCAGCGACGCCGCGUGCGGGAUGAAGGCCUUCGGGUCGUAAACCGCUUUCAGCAGGGACGAAAUUGACGGUACCUGCAGAAGAAGGCCCGGCCAACUACGUGCCAGCAGCCGCGGUGAUACGUAGGGGUCUAGCGUUGUCCGGAAUCAUUGGGCGUAAAGAGCUCGUAGGCGGUUCGAUUAGUCGGGUGUGAAAUCUCCACGCUCAACGUGGAGGGGCCACUCGAUACUGUCGUGACUCGAGUCCGGUAGGGGAGUUCGGAAUUCCCGGUGUAGCGGUGAAAUGCGCAGAUAUCGGGAGGAACACCAGUGGCGAAGGCGGAACUCUGGGCCGGAACUGACGCUGAGGAGCGAAAGCGUGGGGAGCGAACAGGAUUAGAUACCCUGGUAGUCCACGCCGUAAACGUUGGGCACUAGGUGUGGGACUCUAUCGACGGGUUCCGUGCCGUAGCUAACGCAUUAAGUGCCCCGCCUGGGAGUACGGA